GAGGGCCAACUGUAUUUAAUGUUGUUCUACUUGAUGGGCUCCAAAUAAUUUGGCAAUUGAUUUUUUUUCCAUAUCAACUAUUAACACAUUGCAAAACUCUGGUGUACAGCAUAAUAUAUUUAGGAAAUACCAUGUAAGUAUGUAAAAUCUGAUACACUGUUCCAUCUCAAAUAAUUUAACAAUUCAUAUCUAUUCUACUAUAUAAUAUUCUUCUUCCACCAAAAAAUUUAAUAGUAUAUAGGUAAGUUUUAAAUAUAACAGGAUUUGGAAUCAGAGACAUCUGCUUUUAAAACCUGUAGCUAUAUUUUGAGAGAUGUGUAAUUUUAAUUUUCCCAUCUGUAGCAUGAAAUAAUUCCUGCACCAUAGACAUCCACCUACAGAUAGAAUGGAACAUGUCACAGAAGACUCAUACUUCCACUGAAGUAGAGUUAGAAAUGUCAAGUUAAAAGCAAUCAAAAGACACUGGAAGACUGUCAAGCCCUUUGGGUUUAGAGGUUACCUCCCGGGGAGCAAGGACAGAGUCCAGAUCUAUAUUUGGGCAAAGCUACAUUUUUUACUGUAUAGGGCUCGCUCACCUUUGGCUAAAGCUUUUUUACAGUAAAACAAUCAUACUUAUCUGGGCUUCUACAUUUGUUAAAGUAUUUAUAUGACAAACACAGCAAUAGUAUUGUAUGACUACGUGUAAAAUUUGGAUAAGACAGUGUGAGGUAAAAUUAGAUUUAAAAAAAAGGUUAAUCUAUCUUGUAAUGCCAUUCCAUUCAUUUUUUAUUUUUAUCCUGGUCUGCCAUUAUUUAUACCUUAUGACAAAUUUGUGCAAAAUUGUUUAGCAUAGAUAUAACUGAUGGUUACUUAAAUCCAGUUUUUCCUCAGUUGAGUCAUUUUCCAUUGGUGUUACAUCUCAAAGAGGCGGCUACUCAAUUUUUACCCAAAACAUUUGAUGAUUAAUAUUCAUAUUAUAGUCUUAUGAAAAAUGCCAGUUGUUGGAGUCCCCAUUGUGGCUCAACGUAAACGAAUCUGACUGGCAGCCAUGAGGACGCAGGUUCAAUCCCUGGCCUUGCUCAGUGGGUUAAGGAUCAGCAUUGCCAUAAGCUGUUGUUUAGGUUGCAGAUGCAGCUUGGAUCCUGCGUUGCUGUGGCUGUGGUGUAGGCCAGCAGCUAUAGCUCUGAUUCAACCCCUUGCCUGGGAAACUCCAUGUGCUGCAGAUGGAGCCCAACAACAACACAACAAAACAAAUAACAACAACAAAACAAACAAGAACAGCAACAACAGCAGCAGCAAAAAAUUGCUGAUCUAUUAGUCAGGGUUCUUCAGAGAAAGAACCAACAGGAGAUACAUAUAUAUAUGCAUAUGUGUAUGUGUGUAUAUAUUUAGAGAAAGACUUAUUAUAGGGAUUGGCUCAUAUAAUUAAGGAGGCCAAGAAGUCCUAAGAUCUGCUGUUGGCAAGCUGGAGAACCAAGAGAGCUGGCGAUGCAAUUCAGGCUGAGUCUGAGGGCCUGAGAAUGCAGGAACUGAUGGUAUAUGUCUGAGUCCAAAGCCCUAAGAACUGAGGGUCUGAAUACGUGCUUCCUGGUCCAAGUCUGAAUACCUGAGAACCUUAAGCACUGGUGUUUGAGGGCAGAGAGGAUGGAUGUCCUUCCUCAAGUGAAGGGAGCAAGUCUACGCUUCCUGCGGGUGGAAGGGUGAACUUUAUGUUCUAUUCAGACUCUCGGUGAAUUGAAAAAUGUCCACCUGAUUUGGGGAAGGUCUAUUUUCUUCAUUCAGUCUACAGAUUAAAAUGCUAAUCUCUUCCUCAAGAAACACCCUCACAGAUAUGCCUAGAAAAAAUGUUUGACUAGCGCUCUGGGUAGCCCUUAGCCCAGUUAGGUUGCUACAUUGCUCCUUUCUACACCCAGUUGAGCCCAGGUCCUGGAACCACUGGAUUAGGUAAGAGAAAAGAAACUUGAGGGCCUUUGGGGGAAAAAGUAAAAAGUAUAGUAGUGCCACCAUGGGAAUAAUGGCACAGCACAGUCCAACCAUCAUUCUCCCCACCUCUUCUUCCUAAAAUCUUCUGUAAAAGUAAGAAACUCUCUCUAGUGGGAUUCUACUAGUCCCUUGGCUACCCUUAUGUUGAGUAUGAGCACACACUUGCAAAGGCAUGCAAGGCACCUCUUAUUGCUUUCAUCUCCUUCCAUUUUUAGACAACCAAUGUUUGAAUAGUCCAUUCAAUUCCUGAUCAAACCAUUACUCUGAGGCAAAUAUCUCUCUGCUCAUGGUUAAACAUAGACUAUAUCGUGUAUUCCUUUGUCUGAAAAGAAUGUCUUGGUGGUUCAAAUUGGUGUGAUAUCUUCUGUCCUGGUACUUUUAUAGUACUUGGAACAUUUAUGUCUACCACCAGGUAUGCAAAGCCCAGUCAGGAAUAAGUGACUUUAGUCUCCUUGGGAUCCAUUUGCAACCUCCAGAGGCAAAUGACAUCAGUUAGACUUGCCGACUGUGUGCAGAACUUCCUCCUAGAGAAAUUGGUUCCCUAGCCAUUUUCAAUCUCUGUCCCUCACUGGCAGACACAACAGUUAUCACUGGCAUUUUGUGCCUCAGAGGGUGCAAGAGAAGUAUGCCUACAUUUAGACCAUCUCUGCAUUACUGUAUCCCCGUAGUGUCCACUCAUUUAUAGACCCAGGUGGCCACCUCCAGUGAAUAAACCAAGAAGUCUACUGCUAGUUUUUGUUUUUUUUUGUUUUUUUUUUUGUACUUUCUGAUUCUGGAAGAAGAUACUUCCGAUGGGCACUGAUGUGAACUACUUUCACAUGCCCCUUAAGUUCCCAGAAUGAUUUUGUUGGAGCCAUGCCUCCUAUGGGUAUCCAUUCAUAAGACUAGUUUUCCAUUGUUUUCUACCUGACCAUUGGCUACUGCCCAUUAGUAAAACCCAAAUAUAGAAGCAAACGACAUUCAGUUCAGUCCACUGAGUUGAUUUGUUUUUACCUUCUUCAGAGUGGUAGCCUUCCAAAUAGGAGGCAGUCCAUUUGUCUAAUUGGCAUCCAUAAACCAAAUCACCCUACCCUCCAGAAACUCCCUAAAUGUACAGAUACUAUAGGGUUUAAAAUGAAAAAAAAGAUAAGAAAGGUAAAAUAUGCAGAAACCAAUGGAAGAAAACUGCUAUAACUCUACUAACAUCAGGUUAAGUAGACUUUGGGGCACUGAAAAAUAAAGAGGAAUAUUUCAUACAGCUAAAAAAGUCAGUCUACCAAAAAAUAUAAUAUUUAUAUAUGUGCAAAAAAUUGACACAACUGAAAUAAUACAAAAAUUCAUAGUCCUAGUGGAAGAUGUACACAGAACAUUUUCAGUAAUUGAAAGAAAAAGCAGGUAAAAGGCAGUAAGGAUAUAGAAACAUUAACAGCAUUUUUUUUUCUUUUUGUCUUUGUAGGGCUGUACCUGUGGUGUGUGGAAGAUCCUAGGCGAGGGGUCAAAUCGAAGCUGCAGCUGCCAGCCUGCAGCACAGCCACAGCCACAACAACAUGAGAUCUAAGCCACAUCUAUGACCUACACCUCAGCUCAGGGCAACACCAGAUAUUGAACCCACUGAGCAGGACCAGGGAUUGAACCACAUCUUCAUGGAUAUAGCUAGGUUUUUUUCCUAUUGAACCACAGUGGGACCUCCCCUCCCUUUUGUUAACAGCAUAAUUUACAGAUCUUUUGUAAAUGACAUAGAGAACUCUGCAUCAAAUAAUAGAACACUGAGCCCAGCAAUGACAGAGCACAUAUUCUUUUCAAAUGCACAUAGGAUGAGUAUCAAAUUGAUAAUAUAAUGGACCAUAAAAAAAUUACUCAGAGUAUAUUCUUCAAUCACAGUGGAAAACAGUCAAAAAUUAACUAAAAUCAUAUAAUUAGACCCAGAGUAAUGUUAGCACAUCAGUGCAACGCUGAAAUCUAUGUAAAUACACAAAAAUACUACCACUAUAUCGUUUGUUAUGAAGCCAUUCCUCUUCCUAUUCCACAUAAAUUAUAUGACAAGUCCCAGUUAAUCUAGAAAUGAAGAAAUGAACAAUUUGGGGUUCCUGUUGUGGCUCAGCAGUUAAUGAACCCCACUAGCAUCCAUGAGGACUCGGGUUCGAUCCCUGGCCUUGCUCAGUGGGUUAAGGAUCCAGCGUUGCCGUGAGCUGUGGUGUGGGUCACAGACAUGGCUCAGAUCCCACGUUUCUGUGGCUGUGGCAUAAGCCACCAGCUACAGCUCCAAUUGGACCCUCUAGCCUGGAAACCUCCAUAUGCCAUGGGUGGAGCCCUAAAAAAACAGAAAAAAAGAAAAAAAAAAAAA
rnacentral:lncRNA from 1 species